rnacentral:rRNA from 1 species
GACAGAGGGUGCAAACGUUGCUCGGAAUUACUGGGCGUAAAGGGCGCGUAGGCGGGUCCGCCAGUCGAUCGUGAAAUCCUUCGGCUCAACCGAAGAACGUCGGCCGAUACUGCCGUUCUUGAGGGAUGCAGAGGAGAUUGGAAUUCCCGGUGUAGCGGUGAAAUGUGUAGAGAUCGGGAGGAACACCGGUGGCGAAGGCGGGUCUCUGGGCACCUCCUGACGCUGAGGCGCGAAAGCGUGGGGAGCAAACGGG